rnacentral:rRNA from 1 species
GGUAUGGUGCGCCUGGCCCACGGUUGCAAAACCGCGAGUGUCGGUGUGCGCCUGCCAUCUUUCUAGUUAACUGGACGCACUUAACUGGGCGGUCAGCGAUCUAGUUCUUUUACUUUGAAAAAAUUAGAGUGUUUAAAGCAGGCUUGCGCUAUGAAUACAUUAGCAUGGAAUAAUAAUUUAGGACUUUGCUCCUAUUUUAUUGGUUUCUAGGAGUUAAGUA